rnacentral:lncRNA from 1 species
AAAAUAGGUAGAAAGAUUAUUUUUGGGAAAUUUGGAUAUGGAUCGGCGAAAGUAUUCUGGAGGAUGAAGUGGUGAAAUUUGGGAUUAAUUGGAGGAAGUUUGGCGCAUGAAAUGACGGGUUAAACAUGAAUUAGGGGCUUAAACGGAGGUUUAGGACUGAUUUAUAAUAAACCAGGGACCUAUUUGUAAAUAAUUUUGGAGGUGGAGGGGCUUAUCCGUGAAUAGGUUUAUGACAGUGGUGGAAGGACUGUUUCGCGAAUAAUAGAUUCCUUGGGGUUAGAUCGGAAAGGACGGGUUUCUUCUUCCCUUCUCUCUGUACCGGAACAGAGGAGAUGGAAGGGAGGGGCGGCCGGCCUGGGGCGGUGGCCCAGGCUCGCCGGCGGCGAGGGGAGGCGGCGGGAGAGGCUAGAGGAGGCCGUGGGGGCUCCAUUUUGCCCGAUACCUUGGAGCUUCGGAUAGGGAAGGGGCGGCCGGCGGUGGUUCGGUGGAGGCAGCGGCGGAGGUAC